rnacentral:rRNA from 1 species
AUUGAACGCUGGCGGCAGGCCUAACACAUGCAAGUCGAACGGUAACAGGAAGAAGCUUGCUUCUUUGCUGACGAGUGGCGGACGGGUGAGUAAUGUCUGGGAAACUGCCUGAUGGAGGGGGAUAACUACUGGAAACGGUAGCUAAUACCGCAUAACGUCGCAAGACCAAAAAGGGGGACCUUCGGGCCUCUUGCCAUCGGAUGUGCCCAGAUGGGAUUAGCUAGUAGGUGGGGUAACGGCUCACCUAGGCGACGAUCCCUAGCUGGUCUGAGAGGAUGACCAUCCACACUGGAACUGAGACACGGUCCAGACUCCUACGGGAGGCAGCAGUGGGGAAUAUUGCACAAUGGGCGCAAGCCUGAUGCAGCCAUGCCGCGUGUAUGAAGAAGGCCUUCGGGUUGUAAAGUACUUUCAGCGGGGAGGAAGGGAGUAAAGUUAAUGCCUUUGCUCAUUGACGUUACCCGCAGAAGAAGCACCGGCUAACUCCGUG